CAGUAGCCACGGGAAUACGUAGGUGGCAAGCGUUGUCCGGAAUUAUUGGGCGUAAAGGGCUCGCAGGCGGUUUCUUAAGUCUGAUGUGAAAGCCCCCGGCUCUACCGGGGAGGGUCAUUGGAAACUGGGAAACUUGAGUGCAGAAGAGGAGAGUGGAAUUCCACGUGUAGCGGUGAAAUGCGUAGAGGUGUGGAGGAACACCAGUGGCGAAGGCGACUCUCUGGUCUGUAACUGACGCUGAGGAGCGAAAGCGUGUGGAGCGAACAGGAUUAGAUACCCCUGUAGUCCCUGUCUCUUAUAC
rnacentral:rRNA from 1 species